rnacentral:rRNA from 1 species
UGCCUAACACAUGCAAGUCGAGCGAAUGAAAUUCCUUCGGGAUGAAGACCUAACCAUCUUAGCGGCGGAUGGGUGAGUAACGCGUGAGAAACCUGCCUUUCACAAGGGAAUAGCCUCGGGAAACUGGGAUUAAUACCCUAUGAUACAACUUUUUCGCAUGAGAGGGUUGUUAAAGCGUAAAGCGGUGAAAGAUGGUCUCGCGUCCCAUUAGUUAGUCGGUGAGGUAAUGGCUCACCAAGACAACGAUGGGUAACCGGCCUGAGAGGGUGAACGGUCACACUGGAACUGAGACACGGUCCAGACUCCUACGGGAGGCAGCAGUGGGGAAUAUUGCACAAUGGAGGAAACUCUGAUGCAGCGACGCCGCGUGAACGAUGAAGGCUUUCGGGUCGUAAAGUUCUGUCCUUGGGGACGAUAAUGACGGUACCCAAGGAGGAAGCCCCGGCUAACUACGUGCCAGCAGCCGCGGUAAUACGUAGGGGGCAAGCGUUGUCCGGAUUUAUUGGGCGUAAAGGGUUCGCAGGUGGCCUUUUAAGUCAGAUGUGAAAGAUCAAGGCUUAACCUUGGUAAGCAUUUGAAACUGAAAGGCUUGAGUUAAGGAGAGGAAAGUGGAAUUCCUAGUGUAGCGGUGAAAUGCGUAGAUAUUAGGAGGAAUACCAGUGGCGAAGGCGACUUUCUGGACUUAUACUGACACUGAGGAACGAAAGCAUGGGGAGCAAACAGGAUUAGAUACCCUGGUAGUCCAUGCCGUAAACGAUGAGUGCUAGGUGUCGGGGGUCAAACCUCGGUGCCGGAGCUAACGCAUUAAGCACUCCG